rnacentral:SRP_RNA from 1 species
GCUGUGGUGGGCACAUGACUGUAGUACCAGCUACUUGGGAGGCUGAGGCAAGAGGAUUGCCUGAGUCCAGGAGUUCUGGGCUAUAGUGUGCUAUGCUGAUUGGCUGUCUGCACUAAGUGUGGCCCCAGUAUGGUGACCUCCUAGGAGUGGGGGGACCACCAGGUUGCCUAAGGAGGGGUGAACUGGCCCAGUUUGGAAAUGGAGCAGGUCAAAACUCCCGUGCUGAUCAAUAGUGGGAUUGCACUUGUGAAUAGCCACUGCACUGCAGCCUGGGCAACAUAGUGAGACCCCAUCUCU